AUUGAACGCUGGCGGCAGGCCUAACACAUGCAAGUCGAACGAGCGGCGGACGGGUGAGUAAUGUAUGGGAAUCUGCCUGAUGGAGGGGGAUAACUACUGGAAACGGUAGCUAAUACCGCAUACCAUCGGAUCUGCCCAGAUGGGAUUAGCUAGUAGGUGAGGUAACGGCUAACCUAGGCGACGAUCCCUAGCUGGUCUGAGAGGAUGACCAGCAACACUGGGACUGAGACACGGCCCAGACUCCUACGGGAGGCAGCAGUGGGGAAUAUUGCACAAUGGGCGCAAGCCUGAUGCAGCCAUGCCGCGUGUAUGAAGAAGGCCUUCGGGUUGUAAAGUACUUUCAGUCGGGAGGCGUUACCGGCAGAAGAAGCACCGGCUAACUCCGUGCCAGCAGCCGCGGUAAUUC
rnacentral:rRNA from 1 species